CGAAGUUGUCUUCAUCUGUGAACACCUGAUGAAAUGACAUGUCAGAAGGGUCAGAAAUAAAAAUACUACCUGCUGUCUAGAAGGCAGAAGCAGCCACAGGCAGUUUGGAAUGUUAUUCCAGUUCUUCUGAACAGUAGAA
rnacentral:lncRNA from 1 species